rnacentral:rRNA from 1 species
GAUGAACGCUGGCGGCGUGCUUAACACAUGCAAGUCGAACGAAGCAUUUGCGACAGAUUUUUUCGGAAUGAAGUUGCUUAUGACUGAGUGGCGGACGGGUGAGCAACGCGUGGGUAACCUGCCUUGUACUGGGGGAUAGCAGCUGGAAACGGCUGGUAAUACCGCAUAAGCGCACAAUGUUGCAUGACAUGGUGUGAAAAACUCCGGUGGUAUAAGAUGGACCCGCGUCUGAUUAGCUAGUUGGUGAGAUAACAGCCCACCAAGGCGACGAUCAGUAGCCGACCUGAGAGGGUGACCGGCCACAUUGGGACUGAGACACGGCCCAGACUCCUACGGGAGGCAGCAGUGGGGAAUAUUGCACAAUGGAGGAAACUCUGAUGCAGCGACGCCGCGUGAGUGAAGAAGUAAUUCGUUAUGUAAAGCUCUAUCAGCAGGGAAGAUAGUGACGGUACCUGACUAAGAAGCUCCGGCUAAAUACGUG